CUUUUGGUCAGGCUUACUGGAGGUUGUUUUUUUGGGGUUUUUUUUGAAGGGAAUGACACUCAGAGGAUUUUAAUUUUUAACCCUAACCUUAAAUAUUAUCAGACUCAAUAAAGACUUCCAAACGGGGAUUGCAGACUUGGAAUAGGGCUCAUAGACCUGCAGCUGAGCAGCCUUCACCUUUGUUGAUGGGAACAACUGUGGUUUGUUUCCACUCCUGAAUGAACUCUGAAAAGUCGGCCCAAGCUCAGCGUGAUGGAAGCACUGAUGAAGGUCUAGGGUAAAUACUGUUGCUCCCCAGGCAAAGCCAAUCCUUUACUCCUUAUGCAGAAGGUGAUGACUUUCCAAGGGACUGGUCCUACCCUACCGUAUGAGCUAUUGCAGGAUCUGAAAACCAAGGAAAGAAGGAGGAUUCUGUCUGAAACCCUGAGGAGAUGGAGCUGCUUCCAUGCAAGCCUGGGUGAGGAGCCUCUAAGAGAGGUGAGAUUGCAGAUGUGUCCCUGUGUGCAGCAUCUUCUACAAGCUUGUCCUAACAUGACUUUCUGCUCUGUGUGUAUUUUUUCAGGGGGUCUAUUUUCCAUUCCCUCUCUGGAGUGCCCUGAUCUCUCUCUGUCUGUUGGAGGCAAAGCAGCUUCUGGAAUCACUCACUAUAGUACAAACGUCUCAAACCAAAAUACAGUGUCACCCAAUUGUGAGAGCUUAAAUUAUUUAUGGACCUAGCCUUUGGAGUCAGAGUCUCAAACUCCUUUAAUUACCGUUGGGGAUUUGUGCACAGGAUACCAUAGCGAUGAGAAUAAUAUUUGGAAUUUAACUCUUGUCUACUGUGCUUUGGCAGCUGGAAUGAGCAAGCAGCUGAUUAUGACCAUAUCAGAAAUCAUGCCAAAAACUUACAUACGGACGGUUUGGAGUGUUGGCUUUUUAAUCAGACAUAUAAAACUCUUGUUAUCUUUCUUAAGCCCUGCUGGAAACAAAAUUUGGAAGGAAAGCUCCUGUUCAAUAUUCAGUGUCCCCGUGCAAUCUGAAUCUUUACCUAUAAAGCUGCCUUUUGGAAAAAAUCCUCACCAAAGGAGAAAAUGUAAAUUAUUUUAUUGACACUGCUAUCUGGGGCAUUAACAUACAUCCAACAAGAAACAAAAACUGAAAAUGCAAAUUAUUCCCACUAUAGAUCCAUAUCAACGUUGCUGGAAUUAGGCUGAAUCUGGCAUUGUUUGAUUCAGACUUUAUAAAAUAAGAGCUCUGGGGACAACUUAAAAGUGUAGGGUGAUUUGUUUCUCAAAGGAAACCAUCCAGAUUCUUUAGCAGACCAUGGCAAUUAGCACGCUGCUGUUAUGGCAGCAGUGACGAUAUCUGGGGACAGUUGCUGUUUUUCAAACUCACCUCUAAGGACCCACCAAGGCACAGCCACACUCUCUUGCUGCAGACCACAGACUGCUGCUGCAAUUGUUCCAGAGGAGCGAGAGAUCUGGAGGUUCCUGAAGGCAGCUCAUAGCUGGCCUGCCCUUAAAAUACAAAGGGGCUAGAUUUCCCAAGGAGGGUGAAAAAUUUCCAAAGAUAAUGAAAGUGUUUAGAAGAAGUGGUCAAGCUUCCAGCUGAUGAAUAUUGAACUGGGCAGGAAGGGGGAUGGAAAAAGUGGCUUCUAGUCCCACAUUUGUCACUCUUUCAGUAUGACUUUGGCCAAGUUGCUUUUGCAUUUGCUGUUUCUUUUCCUUCCAAUAACCCUUCCCGUUAAUACAGCAAUACUGAAGGAGUGAUGGUUUCUUUACUGCAUUGAAGAUAUGCAAAUGGGUAGGUAUGUGCAGAGCUGUUUUCCUCCAUGUCAUUUUUUUGCUGGCUGGAUGAAAGACAUCUCAGGUACUGAUGGUAUUUCACAGAAUUAGUGCAUAACAACUCGAGCUAAUAUAUCCAACUCACAGGACUCUGUAGGAUGAUGUAAGACUUGGGAGCAGAGACAGUACACAUUCAGACAGAUCAUAGCACAAGUCUAUCAGCCCCAGCCACGUGGGAUUCAUCUGAGAAAAUAAACUGGUUGUCUAGUCUUUCUUUGGCACCACAGGGAAAUUGGCACAUUCAAGGCAUGAUUCAUCUUGCCCUAAAGCUGAUAUCUAAAAUAGGUCAGCUGAGCGUGCUGUAAAAGUGCCUGUUUCUCUUCACGGUUACAAAGGAUGGGAGGCUCAGUAAGACACAGAUGUCUCCAGCGUGGAUGUUUUGAAUUAGGCAAGACGAAUCCUGUCUAUGCAGUAUUUUUGAGAAAUGCCUUGUGUGAUGGAUACUCAGGUCUCAAAUUGGAAGUACAAGUCCAAUUAAAAAGUACAGUGUCCUCAAGAGCCCUCAGUUCGUGCUGAGCUCAAGCCGGACCCAAAGCCCUGACGUAUCUUUUCCUAAUAUUUAGUGGCUAUAAGCUGCCAGACACUUCAGUGUUUGGUUCUCUCCGUGACUUUUGUUUACUGGCUGAAUUAAAAGAUUUAAUGGAUAUUUUUAGAGAUUUCUCCCAUAACUUUAAAAUUACUUGGAUCAGGUAGCAUACACAGUUCCCCCUUCCUCCAUGAAGAACUAUACAACUUGUAACAAUGAAAAUACGAUUUUGUUCCAAAUUGCUAUUUCCAUCCUUUGAUUUUUUAUUUUUUUUUUUUUUCUUUUGUCUUGUAUCAAUUCAU